UUUAUGAGAGUUUGAUCCUGGCUCAGGACGAACGCUGGCGGCGUGCCUAAUACAUGCAAGUAGAACGCUGAAGAGAGGAGCUUGCUCUUCUUGGAUGAGUUGCGAACGGGUGAGUAACGCGUAGGUAACCUGCCUUGUAGCGGGGGAUAACUAUUGGAAACGAUAGCUAAUACCGCAUAACAAUGGAUGACACAUGUCAUUUAUUUGAAAGGGGCAAUUGCUCCACUACAAGAUGGACCUGCGUUGUAUUAGCUAGUAGGUGAGGUAACGGCUCACCUAGGCGACGAUACAUAGCCGACCUGAGAGGGUGAUCGGCCACACUGGGACUGAGACACGGCCCAGACUCCUACGGGAGGCAGCAGUAGGGAAUCUUCGGCAAUGGGGGCAACCCUGACCGAGCAACGCCGCGUGAGUGAAGAAGGUUUUCGGAUCGUAAAGCUCUGUUGUUAGAGAAGAACAAGGAUGAGAGUAACUGUUCAUCCCUUGACGGUAUCUAACCAGAAAGCCACGGCUAACUACGUGCCAGCAGCCGCGGUAAUACGUAGGUGGCAAGCGUUGUCCGGAUUUAUUGGGCGUAAAGCGAGCGCAGGCGGUUUGAUAAGUCUGAAGUUAAAGGCUGUGGCUCAACCAUAGUUCGCUUUGGAAACUGUCAAACUUGAGUGCAGAAGGGGAGAGUGGAAUUCCAUGUGUAGCGGUGAAAUGCGUAGAUAUAUGGAGGAACACCAGUGGCGAAGGCGGCUCUCUGGUCUGUAACUGACGCUGAGGCUCGAAAGCGUGGGGAGCAAACAGGAUUAGAUACCCUGGUAGUCCACGCCGUAAACGAUGAGUGCUAAGU
rnacentral:rRNA from 1 species